rnacentral:rRNA from 1 species
CAGUCCCGCGGUAAUACGUAGGUGGCGAGCGUUGUCCGGAAUCAUUGGGCGUAAAGGGAGCGCAGGCGGGCAUGUAAGUCUUUCUUAAAAGUGCGGGGCUCAACCCCGUGAUGGGAAAGAAACUACAUGUCUUGAGUACAGGAGAGGAAAGCGGAAUUCCCAGUGUAGCGGUGAAAUGCGUAGAUAUUGGGAGGAACACCAGUGGCGAAGGCGGCUUUCUGGACUGCAACUGACGCUGAGGCUCGAAAGCCAGGGGAGCGAACGGGAUUAGAGACCCGAGUAGUCCCUGUCUCUUAUACAC